CAGUCGAACGAAGCAUGUAAAACAAUCCUUCGGGUGCGUUUUAUAUGACUGACUGGCGGACGGGUGAGUAACGCGUGGGGAACCUGCCGUAUGCAGGGGGACAACAGUCAGAAAUGACUGCUAAUACCGCAUAAGCACACAAUGCUGCAUGGCAUGGUGUGAAAAGAUUUAUCGGCAUACGAUGGCCCCGCGUCUGAUUAGCCAGUUGGCAGGGUAACGGCCUACCAAAGCAACGAUCAGUAGCCGGCUUGAGAGAGUGACCGGCCACAUUGGGACUGAGACACGGCCCAGACUCCUACGGGAGGCAGCAGUGGGGAAUAUUGCACAAUGGGGGAAACCCUGAUGCAGCGACGCCGCGUGAGUGAUGAAGUAUUUCGGUAUGUAAAGCUCUAUCAGCAGGGAAGAUAAUGACGGUACCUGACUAAGAAGCUCCGGCUAAAUACGUGCCAGCAGCCGCGGUAAUACGUAUGGAGCAAGCGUUAUCCGGAUUUACUGGGUGUAAAGGGAGCGCAGACGGCAGGGCAAGUCUGAUGUGAAAGUCCGGGGCUCAACCCCGGGACUGCAUUGGAAACUGUCCGGCUAGAGUGCAGGAGAGGUAAGUGGAAUUCCUAGUGUAGCGGUGAAAUGCGUAGAUAUUAGGAGGAACACCAGUGGCGAAGGCGGCUUACUGGACUGUAACUGACGUUGAGGCUCGAAAGCGUGNGGAGCAAACAGGAUUAGAUACCCUGGNAGUCCACGCCGUAAACGAUGAAUACUAGGUGUCGGGGGACAAUGGUCCUUCGGUG
rnacentral:rRNA from 1 species